GAAAAUCCCAUUAUAUUUUUAAAUGGAAAACUCAGAUUGCAAAAUCACAUAGAAAUUCUGAUCUCAACUGUGAAAAAUAUACAAAGGCUUUUUAAAAAUUGAAAGAGAUGCGCCAAAACAUGUAUAAUAGCUAUGAUGAUAGAAUUAUGGGGUUUUGUUUGUAAUUUUCAGAUUUCUCAGAUGUUCUACAAUGGGCAUGACCUGCAGUACAAAAGGAAGUGGCAACAGUGGGAGUCCUUGUGUGGGGACAAAUUGUCCCCACAAAAGAUAUAUUGAAGUUCUAAACCCCAGUAUUUGUGAAUGUGACCUUAUUUGGAAAUGAGUCUUUGCAGAUAUAAUCAAGUUAAAGUAUGGUUAUACUGAAGUAGGAGUGUGCCCUACUCUAAAAUGACUGUGUCCUUAUAAAAAGAGGAGAAGAGACCAAAACACACAGAGGAGAACUCCACAUGAAGAUGGAGGCAGGGACAGCCAAAGGAUGCCAACCAUUGCUGGCAACCACCAGAAACUAGAAAGAGGCAAGGAAGGAUUCUCCUCUAGAGCCAUCAAGGAGAUCAUGGAGCUACCAAUACCCUGAUUUUCAAACUGCUAGCCUCCAGAACUGUGAGACAAUAAAUAUCUGCUGUUGUAUUAA